GAUGAACGCUGGCGGCGUGCCUAAUACAUGCAAGUCGAGCGAACGGACGAGAAGCUUGCUUUUCUGAUGUUAGCGGCGGACGGGUGAGUAACACGUGGAUAACCUACCUAUAAGACUGGGAUAACUUCGGGAAACCGGAGCUGAUACCGGAUAAUAUUUUGAACCGCAUGGUUCAAAAGUGAAAGACGGUCUUGCUGUCACUUAUAGAUGGAUCCGCGCUGCAUUAGCUAGUUGGUAAGGUAACGGCUUACCAAGGCAACGAUGCAUAGCCGACCUGAGAGGGUGAUCGGCCACACUGGAACUGAGACACGGUCCAGACUCCUACGGGAGGCAGCAGUAGGGAAUCUUCCGCAAUGGGCGAAAGCCUGACGGAGCAACGCCGCGUGAGUGAUGAAGGUCUUCGGAUCGUAAAACUCUGUUAUUAGGGAAGAACAUAUGUGUAAGUAACUGUGCACAUCUUGACGGUACCUAAUCAGAAAGCCACGGCUAACUACGUGCCAGCAGCCGCGGUAAUACGUAGGUGGCAAGCGUUAUCCGGAAUUAUUGGGCGUAAAGCGCGCGUAGGCGGUUUUUUAAGUCUGAUGUGAAAGCCCACGGCUCAACCGUGGAGGGUCAUUGGAAACUGGAAAACUUGAGUGCAGAAGAGGAAAGUGGAAUUCCAUGUGUAGCGGUGAAAUGCGCAGAGAUAUGGAGGAACACCAGUGGCGAAGGCGACUUUCUGGUCUGUAACUGACGCUGAUGUGCGAAAGCGUGGGGAUCAAACAGGAUUAGAUACCCUGGUAGUCCACGCCGUAAACGAUGAGUGCUAAGUGUUAGGGGGUUUCCGCCCCUUAGUGCUGCAGCUAACGCAUUAAGCACUCCGCCUGGGGAGUACGACCGCAAGGUUGAAACUCAAAGGAAUUGACGGGGACCCGCACAAGCGGUGGAGCAUGUGGUUUAAUUCGAAGCAACGCGAAGAACCUUACCAAAUCUUGACAUCCUUUGACAACUCUAGAGAUAGAGCCUUCCCCUUCGGGGGACAAAGUGACAGGUGGUGCAUGGUUGUCGUCAGCUCGUGUCGUGAGAUGUUGGGUUAAGUCCCGCAACGAGCGCAACCCUUAAGCUUAGUUGCCAUCAUUAAGUUGGGCACUCUAAGUUGACUGCCGGUGACAAACCGGAGGAAGGUGGGGAUGACGUCAAAUCAUCAUGCCCCUUAUGAUUUGGGCUACACACGUGCUACAAUGGACAAUACAAAGGGCAGCGAAACCGCGAGGUCAAGCAAAUCCCAUAAAGUUGUUCUCAGUUCGGAUUGUAGUCUGCAACUCGACUACAUGAAGCUGGCAUCGCUAGUAAUCGUAGAUCAGCAUGCUACGGUGGAUACGUUCCCGGGUCU
rnacentral:rRNA from 1 species